AAGGCUUGGAAAAGUCGCUGAUCUAAGUUGGAGAAGUCCAAAUCAGGCUCGAACAGCCAUGGCAUGCCGGAGUAAGGCCGGAUAUGGUCGUAGAACUCAAAUCUAACGAAGCAUGGACCGAAUUUCGUAGUGGUCAGGCCUUAAAUCUUCAAAAACUAGGCGUGUAGGAGUUACGGGAGGCUAUUGUAGGACUCCGAUGACCUUGGAAGCAAUGGGUUCCGGUGGCUUUAGGGUGGAAAUAGAGGUGGCGGCUAGGGUUUCUGAGAGUGAUUGAGAGAGAGAGUUGAGAGAAUAGGGGAAUCCAAGGGAGG
rnacentral:lncRNA from 1 species